AGGACACCCAAGGAAAAUAAAAAAGAUUUAUAAAAUAUAUUAAUAAAAAAACAAACACAGGAAAAAAAAAAAAACAACACAAAAACGCAAAAAAAAGAAUCAUACCAAACACACACACACACAACAUUUAAAAAUUUUUAAACCCCCCCCCCAAAUUAAAAAGCUUUUAAGAAUAACCCUCAAAUUAGAAGUGGCUAAGAAAAUGGAACAAUGAGGCCCCCUUCCCCGAGAAAAUGGGACCCGAGGAACCCGUCGGGUCCCGGAAGGGAAAAGAUGGACACCAUAAAGAGAUGGCGCCCGAGUGGGGCAGGAGAUCCCUAUGGAAGCUGUUCGGCCUCUGCCUGUUGGCCAGCUCCAUUAUGACCGCCGUGGGGCUGGGAAGCUUGAGCGUCAUCAAUAGGAAGGCGAUUAACGAGUUGCGUGUUAACAAGGUGGUUAAUGAGGUGGAGGGGGACAAAGGACGGCUCCGGUUCGUGUAUAGGAUGGGGAUGUCGGAGGUAAGUGGAUGGGGGGGAUAUGGGGUGGGGGGAGGAAGUGGGGGGGAAAAAAGUAGGGGAGAGGAAAUAGGGGGGGAUAUAGGGGGGAAAUAAGGGGGGAAGAGGAAGUAGGGGGGAUAUAGGGGGGAAAUAAGGGGGGAAAGAGCGACAUGUAGAGGGAUAUCAGGGGGGAAAUAUAGGGGGAAGAGGAAGUGGGGGGAUAUAGGGGGAGAAGAAGUGGGGGAGGAAGUGAGGAGGAAGUGGAAGUGGGGAGGAGGAAGAGGAAGGGAGGGAGGAAGAGGAAGUGGGAGGGGAAGGGGAAGAGGAAGUGGGGAGGAAGAGGAAGGGAAUGGGAAAAGGGAGGGGAAUAAGAGGGGGAAGGGAAGAAGGAAGAGGAAGAGGAAGAGGAAGAGGAAGAGGAAGAGGAAGAGGAAGAGGAAGAGGAAGAGGAAGGAAAAGACAAAGUGGGAGGGAAGAGGAUGUGUGGGGGGGAAGUGGGGAGGAAGUGGGGAGGAAGUGGGAGGGGAGAGGAGAGGAAGUAAGAGGGGGAAGGGAGGAAGGGGAGGGGAAGAGGAAGUGGGGG
rnacentral:lncRNA from 1 species